GCUGCCGACAGGGAGCUUUGUUUUUACUUCGUUCCGGCCUCUGGUUUUUGGAGAUGGCCUUUAAAGAUUUGUUUCUGAUUUUAUCUCAAAGGCGGUGAGGAAAAGCCUAUGGGUCGGGCUCCAGAAGAAACAUCCGGGAGGAGGCCCCUGAGCCUGGGACCGUGGGGCGGGGGCUGCAGGGGUCCCAGGAGGAGGCGCUCCCGGCCCCGCACAGCCCUGUGGCUGCAGCCCCUGCCUGGGCCUGUGGGCCGGCUGUGUGGUGGUCCUGGGGCAGGGCUCACAGAGCCUCACUCCCCAGAACGCCAGCCUGUGUCCCCGAAGGGUCCCCUCUCCUUGGAGGGGUUUAGUCCCACCGGUGGAUGAACUUGGCAUGGCUGGGCUGGUUUCAAGGGAGGGCUCUGCCCACCGUCAUCACGUGUCAGCAACGCCCCGCUGAGCCCUCUGUCCUUCGCCUUCUGGCCCAGCCAGGCGCCUGGAGCACUCAGUGGCCCUGCUGAACGUCACAGAGGCUGCCGGGCACGCGGGGACGGGGACUCGCCCGCUGGGAACAGGUGUGAGGGCCCAGCUCUGACCGGCAGGUGCCUGGAAGGGCUUCUCCUUGGAUGAGAGCUGCCUUCAGCCCCUCGGUCGGGAACCUCUUGGGCCACCCUGGCAGCCUCCGCCCUGUGGGUUUCUCUCUCUGGGAGAUGUUUACUUUCCUGGCAGUUGGCCACCGUGGCACUCACAGAAAAGGGCAGGGCGGCCCCUCAGACCCUUUCCCGAGGCCACACCGCCCUGAAAGCAGGCUGCGUGCCCUGAGCAGAAGCAGGGACCGGGGCCUCUCCUCCCAGCUGGGCCCCGGGAUUCUGAGACCCAUCUCUAAGGCCAGCCGGGCCCCGGGAUUCUGAGACCCAUCUGUAAGGCCAGCCGGGCCCCGGGAUUCUGAGACCCAUCUCUAAGGCCAGGGCAGGGCUGGGGCAGGGGGCAUUUAUUAAGUUCUUAGGGAAAAAAAAAGCAAAAUUAACACAGAAACAAAUGGAUGAACCAGCAAUGGGCGGGGCCCGCCUGUGGACUCUGCCCCGGCCCUGCUCAGGGCUCUCUGGCCCCAGCUCCUUCCCUGGCGAGACACCCACCCUGCCCUGUGCCACCAGCAGCUUCAGGAGCAAAUGUUCCAGAAAGGAAGAGGAAGCGGCCAGGCAGGAAUUGCAUUAAACCUGUCCAUCAAUCUGGAAGGAACUGUCAUCUCCACUCUGUUGUGCCUUUCAACCCACGAACGUGGCCGUCUCUCUAGGUGUGUGCUGACGUCUUUCAGCAGCAUUGCCGAGUUGUCAGCAUGUUUAAAUCACAAAUGGAUGUUAAACUUGUCAAGUGCUUCCCCACAGUGACGGAUGUGAUCAUAGAUGGGGUCUUCCUGUGUUGCCUCAUGGCAAGAGGCUGGCUUCAACGUCCUGGGUUCCAACAAUCUUCCCACCUCAGCCUCCUGAGUAGCUGGAACUACAGGUGCGUGCCAUGGCACCCAGCUGAGCACCUCCUGGCUGAGAAGCAGACGAUCCGACUGUGCGCUCCUCCCUCACGACCUGACGAUGGGAAACCUUCCUCCGGGCCAGCUCCAGGGUCCCCAGGCACCGAGGAGGCCGCAAUCUGGGGUGGGGGCUGAGGGGCUCUGAAGGCUGCUGAGAUGGGGGCAGUAACAGAGAAGACCCAUACUGAGCCUGGAAGGACGAGUCCUGGGGCCAGGUCCCCAGUGAGCCAGGAGGUGAACAUCUGCCUGUCCAGGCUCCAAGGUCUCGGGCUCCCAGGGCUGCUGGUGGACACAUGGCAGGCAAGUUACCUGGGGCUUCACGCUAAUUCACAGGAAGGUGGCCUGAGGGCACCAGCUAGGAGGGCAGCCUCCCCACCAGAGGCUCUGGGAUGGAGACUCCCCAUGAGAAGGGAACCCCAUCGCCCCUCUGCCCCAGCUCCCCGUAAUACCAGUGCUGGGGAAGCAGCCCUGGAAGCAUCGCUUGGCCAGGAGCACCCUGCCCGGGCUGCCAGACUCAGGGCCCAGCUGCUCCACUGCCUCUCUGGACCUCAGCGCCCCCUCCCACCCCUACCCUCCAGCUCCUCUGCUGGGGCCUCCAGACAGCUGUGAGCAACUCCAGAGGGUGCAGCUGUCCCGGCUCCCAAGUGUUCCUGGAGGGAAAAUCCAGAGCUAUGUUUUCCAUCAGAAUUGGCGGCUGAUGGUGCAGGGGAGGGGUGGGCAGUCCAGACUCUGUUCCUACAACCUCCAGGGGGCUGCUUAGUCCCAACCAUGUGGGGCAGGGGAUGCAAACGCUUGUGAGAGUCGCCACCCCAGGUCUUGCCACGCGGGCGUCUCCAAUCCCCCAUGCUCUGCCCCACCCUGGACCCUACCCCACACUGUCCUCAGAUCCCCUCCCGUACCCCAGUGGGGCCCCAUCCCUGCCUCCUGCUCCUCUUUGGGAGGCCCUAGCUCUCCCCCAAAACCUUGUCUUCUGGUCACAGUGCUCAGGGUCCUUGGCGUCUCCCCUGCACCCCAGCUCCCCUGGUGGAGUCUGGAAAGCCAGCCCCGGUGUGGGGAGGAGGCUGACCUCCCCGAUGGCUGCCACCUCUGGCUCCCGAGAAUCUCACCCCACAGGGCUCCCUCCUUGGGAUGUCACCAAGUCCCUGCCCAGGGUGGGCCAGGCUGCAGGGCCCACAGGAGUCCCCUGCUCAGUUCACCAUGGGCCCUGGGGCUCCUGGAGUGAGGGCCCCGCCUGUCCUUCUUGCCUCUCCAGGCCAGGAGCAGAGCAGGCACCCGGAGGACGCCUCAACAAAGGUGUGAACCGCGGCGCCCUGCCUGGCCAGGGACCUUGGCCGUGGCGUCCAGAGUAGCUGUCCUGGCUCCUCUCACCAUGGCAGGUUUGGUUUGAGGUGGGCUAUGAGGCAGGGGUGGGACCAGCCUUGAUGCCAAGGCUGAUGGGGGGGGCCCUUUUUGCUCCCAGCAGGCCCCACCUUCUGCCUCUGCAGGAGGGAAGGGGCACUUCCUGUAAACAGGUGGGGUGUGGGUACAGCUGGGUGGGACCCCGGCAGACACCCGGAUUUGGGGGAGGCCCCUGAACAGCGGAGAGCGUCUUACCUGGGCGGGGGCCUGCUUGCGAAGGGGUUGUGUGCCAGCAGGGACAGGGCCUCAGCGUCGCUGGCCAGGAGCUUGCCAGCCAGGUGGAGGAUCCAGUCAUUGUGCUCGUAGGUCUGGGAGGAGAGGUCGGGCUGGAGAUGGCUGCGCCACGCGCUGUCCAGGCACAGCCCCUCCAGAUGCUCAGCCGUGCCCUCCACUCCCUCCCGCGCCAGCCUCUCUGUCUGUCCAGCAGCAUGUGGUCCUGAGGCUUUCCUGGAGGUGGGUUCCCUGGGCGGUCACACCCCAGUUCUUUGGCUGGGGUCCCCUUAAGGGGCCGCCUGCUUCGCAUGCUCCUUGUAGCCCUGACCACUCAUUCCCAGGCUGGCCGCUGGCCUCACUCCCCUGCCUGGGUGCCUCGGAGCCUGUCUGCCCCAGCUCCCUCUGUCUGGGCCCUGCCUCCCUGAGGCUCAGUUUUCUGGUGGCUGAGAUGGGACCAGGAGGACAGAAACAGCAGCUCUGUCCGUGAGUGCCUCUGCUACCCCAGCCCUGAGGAUUCCUUCCUUCCUGCUUUUUUUUUUUUUUUUUUUUG